AGUGAGACGAAAGCGAAUCCAAUUCUGUCACCUUUUCAAAAACAACACGUCAAUUUACGUCACAAUACCAGUUACCUAAAGACAAUGUAAACGGUAGUAAACUGGUUGUCGAUUAUUAUCAACGCCCCUGCUAAAGACAAUAUAAACGGUAGUAAACUGUCGGCCUACCUUUUCUCUUCUACUCUGGGUUAAAAAUGCGCCCAGACGGUAUACAGGUUUGAAAAUAUAGAUGCAUUGGGAGAAACGGAGGAACGAAAGCCUCCUCGCUGCGACGGAGCGUCCAGAAUGAGGAAACGGGGAGGAGGAGCCAACCCUGUGGACUCGGUUGAUUACUCGGUUGAUUACUUAUUGAAACUUUAGGCAGCACACAGUCACCCACACAUUUAAUUCUUUAUUUGAAUCCACCAAUCACACACACACACACACACACACACACACACACACACACACACACACACACACACACACACACACACACACACACACACACACACACACACACACACACACACACACACACACACACACACACACACUCCCCUAGGUAAACACACAGGUGGGCGAAGGCUAUCAAAACAGCUGCCGGCACGUCCCACAAAUGAACACAUUUUCCGUGCUGUUAGAGGCAAGACGCUCGCUCGCCCACCGAGCGCGGGGACUCGUGUGUGUACAUGAACGGAACACACACACACGCACACGCACACACACACACUAUAGGAUCACUGAGCCAACUGUAAAGUCAGCCUUAAUAGUGUAACGACCUGUGUUCUCAUUGUGUUCGUUCCCUUCCGGGUUCGUACGGGGGAUUCUGGGGGCGCAUGUUGUCGUUGUUAUUGUUGUUGUUCUGGGUCCGUUGCUAGUUUUGGCGUUUGUGAAUGAUCAGUGGGGUUAAUGGGUUGGGAUUGUUCAUUGUUGUGUGUUGUUCUGUUUUGUGUCGUUGUUGCCACCGUCACCGAGAAUGACUUGUGUGUUAGUUAGCUGUACUGUUCUAUGUACGUGUCCGGGGUUAAUAAAAAGGUGGUUUCUGUCGUCAAGCGGUGUAUGAGGCGCAGAACCACUAUUGACCAAAA